UGACAAAAUUCAAUAUAAUUCAAUAGUUUUUAGCAUUCUUCUAUGCGAACAUAUUCACAACUACAUUAAAACAUCUUCAGAUCAUCCUCUCAGAUCAAUCACCAUCACACUUGUAAAUGCAGACCACUUGUUUUUAGCAUGUUCAGAUCCUUUUCCUAAAUAUCUAGGAUUUUAUUUCCUCCUACAAUAUUGGAUAGGAGACAGUAAUCUUUUAAUCUAAUGGAAAGAUAUUUAAAUGCUUUUUUCACCACUCCUUUUCCCCAAAUUAGUAGAUGAUUUUUGUGUGAGGUGAUUUUUCUAUCAGGUAAUUUAGUAUCGUUGUUCCAUAGCUUGAAUUUUAUGUCGGAUAUUUCAAUCCGCUUUCUCUUCAGCAUGUUCUGUUGCUGAGUAGAGAAACCUCACAAUGGCCAUAGACUGUUCUAUUGUUUAAAUUCUAUGUAUUUAAACUCAAAACAAUGAUAUAAAACAUGACUUUACUGUAGAAAUGAUAAAUUAAUUGUACAUUGAUUUUAAAGAUAAUAUCUUUGUUUGUGGAAAACAAAAAAGUGCUACUAAAAAUUCCCAGAUCUCCAUCCUGGUAAUUCAAAACAGAAUAUUUUCCUUAGAAGGCACUAAUCUUUAAAAUUCUUUUAUGUUGGUAAGCCAAAACCUCUACUUGCUGAUCUUAGGGCAUGGUGCAAGAUCUUUCAAUAAGGUUUGAUGAACCAACAAGUGUUCUGGAAUAUUUCUUGAGGAAAUUUUAAAAAUUAGAAUAUUAAUAAGUUAAUAUGCAUUGUUUAUAGAUAGUAGUCAUAUAGUUGAAGAACUGUGCAUUUUGAACCUUUAAAAUAUGAUAAAUAAGCCUUUUUAAAAGAAAAUGAAAGCAAUCACUGAUCUUCAGCUGAUGUUGUUAUGUACAAUUCUCUAUUAUAUUGCCAAAUUAAUAUUUUCUCUAUGACAUCUGUGAUGUCCCUCUGGACUAAAAAGACAUAUAUAUAUUCUUUCUGUUAACUGUCUUUAUACAGUUAUUUGCUUUUCCAUUAGGGGCAUGGUAUAUUUAAACAACUGCAGGCAAUUUAUACUAGCUCAGAGUCAUUUUGAUCAGUCUUGGGCAAAUUAACCAGCCUUCAGUCAGUUCAGUGCUCUCUCCUAUGUGGCCCUACUCCGGCUUCACAUUGAAUAGUCCCUCAGUCUAGUCCAGAUGUCCAACUGUAUCCACUCACCCUUUCAGAAUGAUGUUGUGCUUGCUAUUUUUAGAUGGAAUAUGUGUCUGCUGUAUGUUAGUAAAACAUGUAAAUUAUGUAUGUAAUUUAUACAUGAUAUAUAUCAAGUAGUGUGUUUUUCUACUAUGUGUUUCAAAAGCAUUAUCCAAAUGAAAAUGAUAAAAAAACUUCCCACAAAACUGGAAAAUGUUUCAUACCAAGAAAGUUAAUUUGUUUAUAUUUACCAUUGUGAUAUAAUGAAGGAAAUUUUUUUGGUCUUGUUUGCCCUGCUUUUGGAUUCUUGGGCAAAUGUCUUUUACUGGUCUUUUUUUGUCCUUGCUUUUGGAUUCUUUAGCAAGUUGUCCACCAUGUAAUUAAUAUUAAAUUAACCUAUAGGCAUUGCUAUCUAAAACUUUAAAAUAUUCAUUGUUCCUCUUGUCACUGUCAUACUUUCUUUUCUAAUGUUUGAAAUUUCUAAAUUGCGGAUAAGUGACUUUUUAAUAUAUUUGCCUCAUGACAAGCUUUUGAAACAUUAACUUAGGUAGAAUGAGGAGCUGCAUUGGUGUUUUCAGUUCUAAGAUUUUAAUUUCUAUCUUUCCCAGGAUCAUUAAUUAAAAUGAUUUAACCUAUAUCUAAAAAAAAUCAGUUUAUAUUUCUUUAGUAGAUCAUAAUUUGUCAUCUUAAAAUAGUAAUGUGAAGUGAAUUGAUAGUAUUUGUUCCACAUCCAUUUGCUCAGUACUGAACUUUAGUAAGAAAUAUCUCAGCAUAUCCACAUAUACAUAAGGAUACUCAUAUAGGACAGGACCAACAACAUUAUUUUGAUUAACUGGUUAGUACCAACUAUAUACUUAUGGAUAAACAUAGCAAGCUUUGGUCCACAUACAAAGUGCAAAAUGUAACUAUAAAAUAACAACAAUACAAUUAAAAUAUGUAAUUUACCAGUAGGAGUAAUUUAUUUUUAAAAAAUUGCUUUGGAUUUCAUACCACAGUCUUUUCCUCAUAUUUUUCUGUAAAGUAUUAACAAAUUAACAUUUUCUUAAAAUGAUUAGUCUUAUCAAUAUGACAAAUUAAAAUGUUAUUUUCUGAAGAUCACAAAUUAAGAUUUUCUAGAUCUUAAUUCUAUGCUGAAAAUGUUAGCAUGUAUUGAAAUGUUAAAUAUUAUAAAACAUUUCAACUAAUUUAUAUGCCAAACAUAAAUACACAAUUGAUGUAAUCUAAUGUACACUUUUUUUCACUUAACUUUAUUUUAAAUACAAUAUAGGCUGAAUGCUUUUUCACUCAUAGGCCUAUGAUAAAUUUGAAUUAAUGGGGAUAAUAACUACUUUUAGCAUCAUUAAACAUGACUUUAAAAGUUGAAGUAAUGUUUGUGAACAGGCAAAUAGGUGGCUGAAGAAUCAGGAGUAAAGAAGUAUUGAAAACCUCUAUCUACAUGCUACUUUUGUUCAUCACCUAAAAUGUGGAGACAAAAAAAUAUACAGAGAAAUUUUUUUAAAAAGUGGGGUGGACAGCCAAAACUAUAGGUGAUAAUAUAGUGAAAUAUUUUGUAAACCAUUGUUUUUAAUUAUGUUUUGAAAAAGAUACUCUGGAGUGAUCAAUUACUUUUAUAUCUCACGAUUAUUAAAUGUUAUCUUUCAUAGUUAAAAAGCACACCACAGUAUACAGUAUUGUCUAUGUGAAUACUGAAACAAGGAAUAUUAUCCUGUUAAUCAUCAAGUGCUGAUUAAUUUAACAAUUUCAUCCUAUUUAUUCUUCUAAUAUAUGAGUUUUUAUUUCAUCUUGAAUCAUCACCACACUAUAACAUUAUUGCUGAUUUGCAAAUUAAUUAUUCUAGGCCUUUCAAUUGUUAGUAUUUAUUCACAGCUGUUCCAAAGUUUGACAAAAAUAAGAAUACAUGUUCAUUUUUAAAUGGCCUGUAUAGGUUUGGUGUGAAGUGCCUGAAUUAGCAGAAUCGGUAUCAGAAUGCUGAUAUAUCACUGAGGACAGUUACUUUUUAAUAAAAUUAUCAGAAGGAGAAAACUAUGGAACAAGAAUUGCCAAAAAAGUUCCAAAAUGUAAGACAGGAUAUACUGUUACAUUAGUUGUGUACGGAGUAGCCAAAUUAUAGAAUAAUUAUUCCUAAAAAUCAGUAAGUUUUUUUUUUAUUUUAGAAAAUAAUGUUUCCAAAGCAUAAAUUUUAAGCUCAGGACAAACUUCUUUACCAGCCAGUUGUGCAGACUGUCCACUGAGAAGGAACAGGGAGUGGACUGUAUUUUAAUAGAGUUGUGAUAAAUAAUUUAGUUGCAUUUCUAAAUUAAAAAUUCAACAUUAAAAGAUGUUGGCAGUUUCCUUUUUAUGUGAUCUUUCACUAUUCAUACAACUAAUCUGAAAAUCUAAGACACAUAAUGAAAAUAAAAUUCGCAUGAUACUGCUUUAUAUGGUCAAGAUAAAGUAUCAGCUUUUUCUAAGUAACUACUCUUAGUUACUUAGAAAAUUAAAAGAGCAGAAGCUUCUGUCUCCAAAAAUGUCCAGGAAGAUUUUUGAGUUUUUCAUGCAUCAGUUUCAGAAACUGUCCCAUUAUUUUCAUGUUAAAAGACAAUAUCACUUUAAUUAUACCAAAUUAAAUGCGUAUGAAGUCCUGAUAAAUUAUUUCUUUCAUAGCAUUGGUUGUAUGUAGCAUUUCUUCUUAGUGCUCAAAAGAAAUGACGUGUAGUUGGAUAAGGAUUGGUGGUUUUUUACUUCCUCCCCCAAAGAGCUGAUGUUUUUGGCUGGUUGUUUUUUGUUUUUGUUUUUAUUUGGUGGUGGGGGGAGACAUGAGAGAAAAGAAAAAGGCUGUAUUUAGAAUUAUUGAACAGGCCUACACUAAAAUUCUUCCUUGUCCGAUGAGGAUGAGGGCUGGGGGAGAAAGUUCGGGGACCAGAACUUGAACCGAGGUCAUGUUAGUGCCCUCCACCCCCAGGUGUAAGCCUGGCUUCAGCUUCCUGGGCAAAGGCUGAGACCAAGUUUCCCGACGUGAAUGUGGACGCAGCGGUGAAGAACUGAAUUUGAGAGCGCAUCCUCUGCUUUGUAUCCUCCAUCCUUACAACAGCGUCGUCUCCUGGAGCUCUGGACACUCCAUUAAUUAGCACUUGCAUCCCCACUCUCUGCAUCUGAAUAAGUUCAGACCCCUCCCUCCCCACCUCAGGUCGCUGAAAAAUAGGUCCCCAGCAGCACCGUUUCAUCCAUCCUAUACAUUUCGGCAUGUUCAAGAGGCUUACAGAAUAUUGUUGAGGUUUUUGAGAUUGAAUAAUGGCUUUUCAUAUUUCCUAGAGGGGACCACAUAACUCAUUUCUAAAAUACUUAGAUUAGCAAAGCUACUUCCCGCACAGAGCUAGAGUAAUAUGGCGAUGUUUUAAUGCCUAACAACUUUUAGACUGAUGAAAAGAUAGAGCGUCCUCUCCCUCUAUUGUGCUCCGACCACCCGAGAACAAAGCAACUGCAGAAGUAACUCCUCUUUUGCUUUAUGAAUGUCCUAUGCUUUUAUAUUUGAAAUCUCUAAAGGGAAAUUUUAUUCUAUUAAAUAAAGUAAAUGCCGAGACAUGUUGGAUGCUGUGAAGUCCAUUAAACUGGAUUUUAAAAUCAUGACCGUCCAUCUUUACAGUUGUAACUUGUAAGAGGGUUUUUUAAAAAAAUUACUUUCAGUUAGUGUUCUGUUAAAAAAUAUUCGGCUUAUCAAAGUAGUAUAUUUUGUAUAUUGACUCCAUUUUAGAAUCCAAAAUAUGACACUUUUACUUCAAAACCACCUCAAUCUCUGUUUUUCUUAAAUAAGUGUUUCAAUUUUGUUGCCAUCAAAAAUAAAUUUAUUUAGUAAUUUGUGGUUAAAGGUGUCAGAGGAUGAGGUCUUUUUGCACUUAGGGAAUGUAAAUUUUACUGCAAAAUUAAAAGGAUUAAUCUUUUCUUUCUAUAUUCUUUUAUACUAUCAUGGAAAAUAAAUUAUUGAAAACCACUUGCCUGCCACCCAGCCAUUCCAAUCCUUGUUAGGUCAGGCAUCAGAACCAUGUCCUUCAAUAAACCUUGAGGCAUUUUAUUCUUUUUGGAGUGAGGGCAGAGAGCUUAUGAAGUAGGAGGGAACGUUCACAUAAAACAUCUUUGAUCAUGUGGUAGAUGAUGAAUAAAGUAUGUAUGAAUUUGCAAAUGAUAACUGUAUUGAAAUCUGUUGUUGAAAAGUGUAAAUUAAAAUGACCAAGUAGUAGAUGCUAGAAAAUUGUCUUGGAAAUUUAAUAUUUCUACUUCCUUAAAAAAAAUUUAAAAAUUAAAAAAUUUUUUUUAGGUAAAUGUGCUCCUAAAAAGAUUGUAUACUCUUUUACUAAAAAGUUUUGUGGAAAUUAAGUACCAUUUGUGGGAGUUGCUCAUUUAUUAUUUUAAAACUUUCUACAUUUAUUAUUCUGCAAAUUCUGAAAUAGUUAUGACCUUUAUAUGUAAUUUAUACAUUUGUCUCGCUGUUUUUCAUUGCCUAAAGAUUGAUAUUUGCACUUUAAUGCUUAAACAUUUUGUAAUUUUACAUUUCUUACACUCAGGGAGAAAAAGUCCACAUUACACUUAGUGUAUUUAUGAUAUAAUUUUGGGAAGUGUAUUAUUUAACCAUUUGCUUCAUUUUGUGAUUAAAAAUCCAUUAGUGGUAAGCAUUUUUAAGGUGGCAUUUUCUUUUAAAACUUUAGAGCUAAAAUAUGUUUUCAGAUUGCUACUUCUGAACUCUGUCCUUCAACUAUUUGACUUAAUGUCGAGAAAAAGGGAAGAUUGGACAUUAAGGGAAAUUCACACUGAAAUUUCAGGCUUAAUCUUCAAAAAAAAAAAAAGUUGUCCUUAUUUUGUUUUAAAGCAGAAAUACUAGGCACCAAGGUGGACGGGACAUGGGUAAAGGAUGAAAACAACUGAAUCAUCAAGAGAGUAUGUCUAGUUUUCCAGUUGGUCUACCUUUUCUAGUGUAAAGACUUAAGACAUUCAAUAACUUUUAGUACAGUUCUCCUUAGCAAGUGAUAAGUUGUGUAUGGGUUCUAAAGGAGGGAAAAUCACAGAAAAAUGUUGUCCUGUUUUGAAAGUGUUUUAAUUAGACAAAAGCAUCAGGACAAACCAUUUUAAAAACAAAGUCUUCAACUUGGGU
rnacentral:lncRNA from 10 species